rnacentral:rRNA from 1 species
CACUCCUACGGGAGGCAGCAGUGGGGAAUUUUGGACAAUGGGCGAAAGCCUGAUCCAGCAAUGCCGCGUGAGUGAAGAAGGCCUUCGGGUUGUAAAGCUCUUUUGUCAGGGAAGAAACGGUGAGAGCUAAUAUCUUUUGCUAAUGACGGUACCUGAAGAAUAAGCACCGGCUAACUACGUGCCAGCAGCCGCGGUAAUACGUAGGGUGCAAGCGUUAAUCGGAAUUACUGGGCGUAAAGCGUGCGCAGGCGGUUUUGUAAGUCUGAUGUGAAAUCCCCGGGCUCAACCUGGGAAUUGCAUUGGAGACUGCAAGGCUAGAAUCUGGCAGAGGGGGGUAGAAUUCCACGUGUAGCAGUGAAAUGCGUAGAUAUGUGGAGGAACACCGAUGGCGAAGGCAGCCCCCUGGGUCAAGAUUGACGCUCAUGCACGAAAGCGUGGGGAGCAAACAGGAUUAGAUACCCGUGUAGUCCC